CCUCUCCAUCAGGGACCAGCAGCAACAACACAGACUCCUCUGCACAGCGUCCAGCAGCACCCCGACAGCUGGGCCCGAAAGAGCAGGCAGCCCCCUUAAGCUCAGUCACCCACUGCUGAUAGAGAGGAGGAAAAAAGGGAGGCAUUGCCGCCAUCUUUAUAGUCCAAGGAGAAGCACCUAAGCCUGCAUCUGAUCGAGCCCCCGCUGCUUCCCAUCCAGCUCGGGCCCCCUACAUCAAGUAGGGGAGGAGAGAAGACCUGCAGAAUUCAAGCUCAGGAAAAAAAAGACAAACCCCCCCCUCCCCCCAAAUGUGGGUUUAAAGGAUCUCGGGGCAUUUUUUAAUGGUAAUUCUUCUUUUCCAUGUAAUUGGAUUUUUAUAACACUGUAUAUCUAUCCCAUCCCUAAACCAGCCACAGCUGGUCACAUUCCUCCCCAUUGCCUUUUUGGGUCUUUUAUAUUUUGUUGUUAUAGCCUGGGCAUUACCUUGUUACAUUGUGUCUAGCUCUCUGACCCACUCUGCUGUGGAGGAUAUCUAGGUACCAG